ACGUAGGGUGCAAGCGUUAAUCGGAAUUACUGGGCGUAAAGCGUGCGCAGGCGGUUGUGCAAGACAGAUGUGAAAUCCCCAGGCUUAACCUGGGAACUGCAUCCGAUACUGGAUGGCUUGAAUUCGGGAGAGGGAUGCAGAAUUCCAGGUGUAGCGGUGAAAUGCGUAGAUAUCUGGAGGAAUACCGGUGGCGAAGGCGGCAUCCUGGACCGAGAUUGACGCUGAUGAGCGAAAGCUAGGGGAGCAAACGGGA
rnacentral:rRNA from 1 species